UACAGAGGGUGCGAGCGUUGUUCGGAAUUACUGGGCGUAAAGGGCGCGUAGGCGGCCUUCUAAGUCGAACGUGAAAUCCCUGGGCUCAACCCAGGAACUGCGUCCGAUACUGGGAGGCUUGAAUCCGGGAGAGGGAUGUGGAAUUCCAGGUGUAGCGGUGAAAUGCGUGAGAUAUCUGGAGGAACACCGGUGGCGAAGGCGGCAUCCUGGACCGGUAUUGACGCUGAUGCGCGAAAGCGUGGGGGAGCGAACGAGG
rnacentral:rRNA from 1 species